rnacentral:rRNA from 1 species
AUAAGCGGAGGAAAAGAAACUAACAAGGAUUCCCCUAGUAGCGGCGAGCGAAGCGGGAAGAGCUCAAAUUUAUAAUCUGGCACCUUCGGUGUCCGAGUUGUAAUCUCUAGAAAUGUUUUCCGCGUUGGACCGCACACAAGUCUGUUGGAAUACAGCGGCAUAGUGGUGAGACCCCCGUAUAUGGUGCGGACGCCCAGCGCUUUGUGAUACAUUUUCGAAGAGUCGAGUUGUUUGGGAAUGCAGCUCAAAUUGGGUGGUAAAUUCCAUCUAAAGCUAAAUAUUGGCGAGAGACCGAUAGCGAACAAGUACCGUGAGGGAAAGAUGAAAAGCACUUUGGAAAGAGAGUUAACAGUACGUGAAAUUGUUGGAAGGGAAACGCUUGAAGUCAGACUUGCUUGCCGAGCAAUCGGUUUGCAGGCCAGCAUCAGUUUUCCGGGAUGGAUAAUGGUAGAGAGAAGGUAGCAGUUUCGGCUGUGUUAUAGCUCUCUGCUGGAUACAUCUUGGGGGACUGAGGAACGCAGUGUGCCUUUGGCGGGGGUUUCGACCUCUUCACACUUAGGAUGCUGGUGGAAUGGCUUUAAACGACCCGUCUUGAACACCG